CAGCCGCCGCGGUAAUACGUAGGUGGCAAGCGUUGUCCGGAAUUAUUGGGCGUAGAGGGCUCGCAGGCGGUUUCUUAAGUCUGAUGUGAAAGCCCCCGGCUCAACCGGGGAGGGUCAUUGGAAACUGGGAAACUUGAGUGCGGAAGAGGAGAGUGGAAUUCCACGUGUAGCGGUGAAAUGCGUAGAGAUGUGGAGGAACACCAGUGGCGAAGGCGACUCUCUGGUCUGUAACUGACGCUGAGGAGCGAAAGCGUGGGGAGCGAACAGGAUUAGAUACCCCCGUAGUCCCUGUCUCUUAUAC
rnacentral:rRNA from 1 species